rnacentral:misc_RNA from 1 species
GUAGGUGAACCUGCGGAAGGAUCAUUAUAAAAAUUUACAUUUUAAUAUGUAAAAAAAAAUGUAUUCAAAACCCAACUCUUUAAAUCAUAAAUAUAUAUAUAUAUAAAAUUUAUUUUUAUAUUAUAUUUAUAUUAAAAAAAUAAAUAAUAAAAAAAUGACAACUUUCAACAACGGAUCUCUUGGCUCUCGCAUCGAUGAAGAACGCAGCAUCUGACUGACUGAACUGUAU